AAAUCUGGCGUCUUCGGCGUCCGAGUUGUAAUUUGAAGAAGGUAACUUUGGGGCUGGUCCUUGUCUAUGUUCCUUGGAACAGGACGUCAUAGAGGGUGAGAAUCCCGUGUGGCGAGGAUCCCAGUCCUUUGUAAAGUGCUUUCGACGAGUCGAGUUGUUUGGGAAUGCAGCUCUAAGUGGGUGGUAAAUUCCAUCUAAAGCUAAAUAUUGGCGAGAGACCGAUAGCGAACAAGUACAGUGAUGGAAAGAUGAAAAGAACUUUGAAAAGAGAGUGAAAAAGUACGUGAAAUUGUUGAAAGGGAAGGGCAUUUGAUCAGACAUGGCGUUUGCUUCGGCUUUCGCUGGGCCAGCAUCAGUUUUGGCGGUUGGAUAAAUCCUCGGGAAUGUGGCUCUACUUGUAGAGUGUUAUAGCCCGUGGGAAUACAGC
rnacentral:rRNA from 1 species